GGAGGGAUCGCAUAGUGGUCUAGUGCAGUUGCCUACUAAGCAGCCGUGUCGCAAGAUACCGAGGGUUCGAAUCCCUCUCCCUCCGCCA
rnacentral:tRNA from 1 species